ensembl:snoRNA
AUCAAAUGAUGCUUUUUCUCACGAUGGUCUUCCUAGCCCUGUGGGCUCUGAUGACAAAGCCUUAAUGGCAAUACUGAUGUGGUC